AUCGCUUCUCAGCCUUUUGGCUAAAAUCAAGUGCAGCAUCAGCUCUUAGCAGUUUCAUAUCUGAUACAUCCUCUUAUCCGAGGAUGAUAUAUUAAAUGGAUUUUUGGAGCAGGGAGUUAGAAUAGGGGCUUGCUCCGUCCACUCCACACGUGGACCCAGUAUUACAGGACCUCAGGAACGGCGCACCUCCU
ensembl:snRNA U2 U2 spliceosomal RNA